rnacentral:RNase_P_RNA from 1 species
UGGCGGCUUGUCGCUCGUUAACAUCAUGGUUGCGAGAGGAAAGUCCGGGCAACACAGAGCAUCACAUUUCUUAACGGGAAGCUGGGGGUGACCUCAGGGUUAAGGUGACAGAAAAUAACCGCCGCACGAAACGCGGUAAGGGUGAAAAGGCGGGGUAAGAGCCCACCGGGCACUGUGGCGACACCGUGUGCCGCACCACCUGUGAGUUGCAAGUUCAUGUAUACCGGCAUCUAAGGGCUGCUCGUCCAUUGCCGGGGGGUAGAACGCUAUACCGGCGCAGCAAUGCGCAGGACAGAUAAAUGACAGGCACCUGCCGUAACGGCAGGCACAUAACCCGGCUUACAGCCAUACUG